GAGAAACUGAUCUAAAUGAAGUGAGUUGGUGAUUCAAACAAGAACAAAUAAGUCUCAGAAAAAUCUUAAUUCAAAUGGAAAACAAAUGUUCAUUCUCCUUUUAUUCAUAUUUUAAGCAUAAACUCGCUUUAUUUUGUUACAGUUUUUAAAAUUCGUUUAACACUUGCAUCUUAAGUAAAUGAUUCUUAAUUUAUUUAUUCUUAUAUUAUUUUUCUGUAAUGUAUAAUCUAUCGUGAUUCUUUAUUAAAAAAAAGUCAAAACUCGUAAAGCAGAAUGAACGCAGUGCGCAUGCGCAGGACACACCAGAGUUAUGACUUUUCAUUUCAAGGCGAAUCUCUCCAGUAAUAUUUAGUUUAUGAGACAAUAUAAAUAAUACACCAGACACACUAUAGAAGUGUCACAUAACUCAACCAGUGUUUAAUGAGUUGUGCGGUAAGAAUAAGAGUUUAACCGCACAGAGGUAACCGUUUAUAGAUUAACAAACACGCAGUGUGUUUAAAUAAAGCUUCCGCUGUUUGAAUCCGCGGACUUCCGCGUUUGAUCGAACACUUUCAGACUGUUUACUGUCUCGAGUCCGGAUAAACUUGAGUUUUCCUGCGGAUCUGCGCUUCUCUGCUGAUUCCAGCGUGUUUUCGGAGAGGACUUUAUCCCAGCGGAAUAUGAGCAGAGAUGCCGUCGGUGUCCAGCGCAGUGAAGGAUCUGUAUCUGUCCUCUUCACUCAGCGAUCUGAACAAGAAAGCAGAAAUCAAACCGGAUAAAACCAGCACCAGACAGUGAGUGUGAACACUGGAACCGAAGCACGCGCCACUUCUGAUCUGAGCUAUUGCGUUUACAGAAUGACCCGAAAAUGAACAUUUGCUGUAAAGAUGAUUUCAGCUGAAGCCGUGCUCCUCUGUGAAUCACAGAAUGCAAGUCAAUGGCUACCGUCACUUUAAGAGUCAAAACAAUCCUAUCAGGGAACAUUAAACUCCUGAUGAUAUACUGAGAUCUUAUGAAGUGAAACUGAUCAUUAUUUACAGCAUUAUUACUGUAAUCCAGAGCCUCAGACAAACGGGGAAAUAUGAUUCUUUUCUGCGAACUGAUUCUUUCGGACAGUUCGUUUCAAUGAACUGAUUCAGUUCACUAU
ensembl:lncRNA